AGUGGCGGACGGGUGAGUAACGCGUGAGAAUCUACCUUCAGGACGGGGACAACAGCUGGAAACGGCUGCUAAUACCCGAUAUGCCGAAAGGUGAAAAGUUUUUUCGCCUGGAGAGGAGCUCGCGUCCGAUUAGCUAGUUGGUGAGGUAAAAGCUUACCAAGGCGACGAUCGGUAGCUGGUCUGAGAGGAUGAGCAGCCACACUGGAACUGAGACACGGUCCAGACUCCUACGGGAGGCAGCAGUGGGGAAUUUUCCGCAAUGGGCGAAAGCCUGACGGGGCAACGCCGCGUGGGGGAAGAAGGUUUUUGGAUUGUAAACCCCUUUUCUCAAGGAAGAACAAAAUGACGGUACUUGAGGAAUCAGCCUCGGCUAACUCCGUGCCAGCAGCCGCGGUAAUACGGAGGAGGCAAGCGUUAUCCGGAAUUAUUGGGCGUAAAGCGUUCGUAGGCGGCUGUUCAAGUCUGCUGUCAAAGACCGAGGCUCAACCUCGGGUAGGCAGUGGAAACUGGAUAGCUAGAGGUCGGUAGGGGCAGAGGGAAUUCCCAGUGUAGCGGUGAAAUGCGUAGAUAUUGGGAAGAACACCGGUGGCGAAAGCGCUCUGCUGGGCCGAACCUGACGCUGAGGGACGAAAGCUAGGGGAGCGAAUGGGAUUAGAUACCCC
rnacentral:rRNA from 1 species